ensembl:lncRNA
CCUCGUUUAAGCGUUCCAGCACCUCAACCUCAGCCCUCCUCCCGGAUCUCGUCUUCAUUCUGCUGAAGGGGUGUUGUCAGCCUUGAUUGCCCACAUCUCUUCCCCUACUGAAUCCCAAAACUCCUCUUCCCUCAUUAGUUUCCAGAGCUUCCUCUGCCUUCCAAAAGAGAAGCCCAGAUUAAUUCCCUGUGAACUGCCAAAACCAAUCACAGUCAGCGGAGCGGGGCACCUGGGGUGUUCCAAAUGAAAGUGGUUAUGUGAAUCCUUUCAGGAAGGGCCCUUCCAUAAGUCUAUUAGCGAAGGAUCCAUGCGAUGGUCAUUUCAAAGAUGUCAUUUUAUUGUUUAUUGUCAUGUGAUCCUGGGAGGCAUCUGUCCACUAAAUCCAGUUGGGAGGAUGGUGAUCGUAAGGGCUUUCUUGAUGAAGGUUGCAUGAAGAUCUUGAGAAAAAUGCAACAAUAUAAUUCUCACCACCUUGGAUUAGAAAGAAACAACCAGGAACUGCUGGAAAAAAAGAGGGACACUCCAAAUUCUGACUGUCACCACGAGAACUGCAAAUAUGUGCUCCAAACAACACGUGGCUCAGAAUUUCAAAACCCUUACAUUCUAGGAGGCAUAUCUGCAGCUGCAAGCCGCUGACAAACUCCAUCUUGUACAUCUGAGCCUGCAGAGAAGGGCGAGAGCGGUGAUAGAAUAUUGAUGCUCCUCUGGCAUGGGCCUCAUUCAAACCAAAUAGCUUUAUGUUAUUGUGACUGAUACAAUUUCACCGCGUGUACCUGCAUUAAAUUGACAUUCCCAAC